AAAAGCCAAAGACUCUCAUUUGGUAGCUGCGGCACUUAUAGCAACAGUAACCUUUACUGCCGCAUUUACCGUACCUGGCGGUUUUUUAAGUGAUGAUAAAAGUGCUAAUACAAGUGCUGGCAAUUUGACACAAGCUAAUACAAGUGCCAACAAAAGGUAUUUAAAACUGGGGAGUCCUAUCCUAGCCGAAAAGUCAGCUUUUAAAGCAUUUAUCAUA
rnacentral:misc_RNA from 1 species